GAUGGACGCUGGCGGCGUGCCUAAUACAUGCAAGUCGAGCGAACAGACGAGGAGCUUGCUCCUCUGACGUUAGCGGCGGACGGGUGAGUAACACGUGGAUAACCUACCUAUAAGACUGGGAUAACUUCGGGAAACCGGAGCUAAUACCGGAUAAUAUAUUGAACCGCAUGGUUCAAUAGUGAAAGACGGUCUUGCUGUCACUUAUAGAUGGAUCCGCGCCGCAUUAGCUAGUUGGUAAGGUAACGGCUUACCAAGGCAACGAUGCGUAGCCGACCUGAGAGGGUGAUCGGCCACACUGGAACUGAGACACGGUCCAGACUCCUACGGGAGGCAGCAGUAGGGAAUCUUCCGCAAUGGGCGAAAGCUUGACGGAGCAACGCCGCGUGAGUGAUGAAGGUCUUCGGAUCGUAAAACUCUGUUAUUAGGGAAGAACAAAUGUGUAAGUAACUAUGCACAUCUUGACGGUACCUAAUCAGAAAGCCACGGCUAACUACGUG
rnacentral:rRNA from 1 species